rnacentral:rRNA from 1 species
UGGGGGAUAUUGCACAAUGGGCGCAAGCCUGAUGCAGCGACGCCGCGUGGGGGAUGAAGGCCUUCGGGUUGUAAACUUCUUUUGCUCUGAACAAGGCGCACUUUGGGGUGUGUUGAGUGUAGGGGUUGAUUAGCGCCGGCUAACUACGUGCCAGCAGCCGCGGUAAUACGUAGGGCGCGAGCGUUGUCCGGAAUUAUUGGGCGUAAAGGGCUUGUAGGUGGCUGGUUGCGUCUGUCGUGAAAGCUCAUGGCUUAACGGUGGGUUUGCGGUGGGUACGGGCUGGCUUGAGUGCAGUAGGGGAGGCUGGAAUUCCUGGUGUAGCGGUGGAAUGCGCAGAUAUCAGGAGGAAUACCGGUGGCGAAGGCGGGUCUCUGGGCUGUUACUGACACUGAGGAGCGAAAGCAUGGGGAGCGAACAGG